rnacentral:rRNA from 1 species
GACGAACGCUGGCGGCGUGCCUAAUACAUGCAAGUCGACCUUAGUGGCGAACGGGUGAGUAACACGUGGGUAACCUGCCCAUCCAAAGGGGAUAACACUUGGAAACAGGUGCUAAUACCGUAUACUGAUGGAUGGACCCGCGGUGCAUUAGCGAGCUGGUGAGGUAACGGCUCACCAAGGCCACGAUGCUUAGCGGACCGGAGAGGGUGAUCGGCCACAUUGGGACAGAGACACGGCCCAAACUCCGACGGGAGGCAGCAGUAGGAAAUCUUCGGCAAUGGACGAAAGUCUGACCGAGCAACGCAGCGUGAGUGAAGAAGGUUUUCGGAUCGUAAAACUCUGUUGUUAGAGAAGCGGUAUCUAACCAGAAAGCCACGGCUAACUACGUGCCAGCAGCCGCGGUAAUUC